rnacentral:rRNA from 1 species
GACGAACGCUGGCGGCGUGCUUAACACAUGCAAGUCGAACGGAAAGGCCCUGCUUUUGUGGGGUGCUCGAGUGGCGAACGGGUGAGUAACACGUGAGUAACCUGCCCUUGACUUUGGGAUAACUUCAGGAAACUGGGGCUAAUACCGGAUAGGAGCUCCUGCUGCAUGGUGGGGGUUGGAAAGUUUCGGCGGUUGGGGAUGGACUCGCGGCUUAUCAGCUUGUUGGUGGGGUAGUGGCUUACCAAGGCUUUGACGGGUAGCCGGCCUGAGAGGGUGACCGGCCACAUUGGGACUGAGAUACGGCCCAGACUCCUACGGGAGGCAGCAGUGGGGAAUAUUGCACAAUGGGCGGAAGCCUGAUGCAGCAACGCCGCGUGCGGGAUGACGGCCUUCGGGUUGUAAACCGCUUUCGCCUGUGACGAAGCGUGAGUGACGGUAAUGGGUAAAGAAGCACCGGCUAACUACGUGCCAGCAGCCGCGGUGAUACGUAGGGUGCGAGCGUUGUCCGGAUUUAUUGGGCGUAAAGGGCUUGUAGGUGGUUGAUCGCGUCGGAAGUGUAAUCUUGGGGCUUAACCCUGAGCGUGCUUUCGAUACGGGUUGACUUGAGGAAGGUAGGGGAGAAUGGAAUUCCUGGUGGAGCGGUGGAAUGCGCAGAUAUCAGGAGGAACACCAGUGGCGAAGGCGGUUCUCUGGGCCUUUCCUGACGCUGAGGAGCGAAAGCGUGGGGAGCGAACAGGCUUAGAUACCCUGGUAGUCCACGCUGUAAACGGUGGGUACUAGGUGUGGGGUCCAUUCCACGGGUUCCGUGCCGUAGCUAACGCUUUAAGUACCCCGCCUGGGGAGUACGGCCGCAAGGCUAAAACUCAAAGGAAUUGACGGGGCCCCGCACAAGCGGCGGAGCAUGCGGAUUAAUUCGAUGCAACGCGUAGAACCUUACCUGGGUUUGACAUGGAUCGGGAGUGCUCAGAGAUGGGUGUGCCUCUUUUGGGGUCGGUUCACAGGUGGUGCAUGGCUGUCGUCAGCUCGUGUCGUGAGAUGUUGGGUUAAGUCCCGCAACGAGCGCAACCCUUGUUCACUGUUGCCAGCACGUUAUGGUGGGGACUCAGUGGAGACCGCCGGGGUCAACUCGGAGGAAGGUGGGGAUGACGUCAAGUCAUCAUGCCCCUUAUGUCCAGGGCCUCACGCAUGCUACAAUGGCUGGUACAGAGAGUGGCGAGCCUGUGAGGGUGAGCGAAUCUCGGAAAGCCGGUCUCAGUUCGGAUUGGGGUCUGCAACUCGACCUCAUGAAGUCGGAGUCGCUAGUAAUCGCAGAUCAGCAACGCUGCGGUGAAUACGUUCCCGGG